AUCUGACGAGUCCCAAACAGAACGAAACGUGCGUCCU
rnacentral:hammerhead_ribozyme from 1 species